CAGACAUUCUUCCAGCUCUGGGAAGGUUGGAAUUGGAUAAACUUAUCAAGCUUGGCUGGUUUUCUGGUUGACUUGCUGUGUCUGAGGGGAAAGUAUGAAGUCAUCGUUCUCAUUGCUAUCCUCUUUAAGUCCAAGAGCAAAGUACUUCUAAAGGGCAGGCUUUGUGGUUCACAUGGAAUGUAAGUAGCUCAAAUGGCCCCACUUCCAAGAAGCCUUCGUUAACCCUAAGGCUGAAUGAAAUGAAGAUUCCUUUUCAUCCGUUAUUUGAGGUGUGAGAAGAAGGGCACCUUUUUCAUUAGCCUUCCAUCUGGUCACGUUAACAUGGGCAUUUACCUUUAGCAAUGAUCGCCCAGUUCUCUUUCCUGGCAUACUGCUUCAUUGUCUGCAAAAUCACCACCAGCUAUCCUGUUAGCUAUGGAAAAGGGAACAACAUCACUAAGGAAAUACUGGAGAUGUAAUUAAAACCUCCCUUUGGUGAAAGGGAGGUUGCAAAAGUGUGAUUCUAGACCGAAUCCAUUAGUAAUUGAGUGUCCCCACCAACAGACAUUAUUCUGGACAGUUCCUUGAAGGAGACUGUAAACUUCUUAUGGUUAUAAAAUGACCAGAACAACCUGUUCUUGUGGUUGUUAUUUCAACCUUAAGCUGGUCGUUUUCUGCACAACCGAUGACAGUAAUGGCAUUCACCUGAAUCCAUCUUUACCACUUACUAAAUGUGUGACCACAAGGAAGUUACUUAACCUCUCUAAGCCCCAAUUUUCUCAAUGUGAAAUGGAAAUAAUUGUACCUAUAUCUUAGGAUUCUUAUAAAGACAAAUGAGAUAUACUG